UGCUUGGUGACAAUAGCCUUGUGGAACCACCUGAUCCCAUCCCGAACUCAGAAGUGAAACGCAAACGCGCCGAUGGUAGUGUGGGGUCUCCCCAUGUGAGAGUAGGUCAUCGCCAAGCGC
rnacentral:rRNA from 1 species